GGGGGGGGGGGGGGGGGGGGGGGGGGGGGGGGGGGGGGGGGGGGGGGGGGGGGGGGGGGGGGGGGGGGGGGGGGGGGGGGGGGGGGGGGGCAGGGGAUGGAGCAGGGCAGAGGGGAUGGAGCAGGAUGCAGGGGAUGGAGCAGGAUGCAGGGGAUGGAGCAGGAUACAGGGGAUGGAGCAGGGCAGAGGGGAUGGAGCAGGAUACAGGGGAUGGAGCAGGAUACUGGGGAUGGAGCAGGAUACAGAAGAUGCUGAAGGCUAGAAAGGAGCUUCAGGGGGUUUUCUGGAAGGUUUCACCUCAGCAGGGAGGGCAGAGGACAAGCAGGCUUUCCAAAACAUUCUGCAUUUUGGGGGCCAGCCAGUUUUCAGCAGUCAGAGAGGUGAAACAAUGACACUGCUGGAGGUCCAGCCUUGGCUGUGUUAAAUAUCUGACCAAUAGCUGAGUAAAUCUCAGCUCCACUGAGAAUCAACAGCCCUAAAUGACUUGAAAUGACUUUCAGCUGGACAGAUUAAAAGGACAUUUCCCAGAAAGCUGGGAGUCAUGCAACAGCCUGUUUUAUUUCUGGAUGUGUGAUUAUGACUGGAAGUUACUGGCUGGUGUUGGCCUUGUCAUUAAAAUCUGACCCUACAGUUGGAAUAUGAACUAAUGAACUAAUUCCAGACUUUAUUUAAGGCUGCUUCUCAUGAGAAGUUAUUCCUGUUUCUUCUCUCCUCAUUGCUCUCUGGAGGAAAGUAGGGUGAAGUCCUU
rnacentral:lncRNA from 12 species